rnacentral:tRNA from 1 species
GGCGGGGUAGCCAAGUGGUAAGGCAGUGGACUGCAAAUCCACCAUUCACGGGUUCGAUUCCCGUCCCCGCCU